GCCAAAAAUAAAGCCAUGUUGAAAUCAUAAAACCAUGCCAGUAGCAGAAGGCUUCUAAACAGCAUUAAAAAGUAGCUUUUGAGGCCGGAGCAGGCAUGAAAAACAACAGAUUCUUUUCCCGUGCUGAUGCAGCCUGUGAUGGUCUCCAGCAUCCCAGAAUUUACCAUCUUGUACAGAAGUAAACGUGUUUUAGGAUCCACUGCUUUCUCCUACAAGAGAUGAAUAGGAUUAAUAGGCAAGAUGUGAAUACUCAAUUCAAUAAAGCAAUUCUUUGCUUUA